GCAGGGUUUCCGCUGGCGGUCGCCAUUUUCGCAAUUUGCGAAAAAAUAAUAAUUGUGGCGAUAAAAAUUCGUCAUUUGCGAAAGAAUUUGGCGAAAGAAAUAAAUAGAACGAUUUAUUUUCCUCCAUCUUGUUUAUUUACUUUUUUCGAGUUUCUCGGACUUUACCCGAUCAGACAAUACAGCUGAUUGCAUUUUAUAGCUAUCGACAACAAAGGACUAAUUAAUAAAGGUGUUGAUUGAAUUGUUUGACAAAAUGAUAUGGUUAAAUGGCUUCCGCUAAAUGUCACAUACAGAAUUUAUUUACGACUUUGCGACGCACGUGUUUGAAGCAAACUUUUGACGUCUCCUCUCCUUUUAAAGAUAGUUUAGAAAAGAAAGCUGUUGUUGUGACGAAAAAUUUUCAAAAGCAAGAAAAAUCUCCGAUUCAAAACUUUAAUUAUCCUUUGACUUUAAUAUAGGUAAUUGAUUGAGGAGACUACUUUAAAGUCGUUUGAGUGACACGUGUGUUUCAAGCAUAGUUUAAGUCUCAACUUUUUCAUUUACGAUGGUCAAGAAAAGAAAGUAAAUGUUUAGUGUUUAUUCAUUAAAUGUAAACUCUAAAAUAAGUUUGACAGAAUAAUCAUAGACACAAUGGGGCAAAAUCACCUUAUUUAAGGGAAAAGGGGGGG
rnacentral:lncRNA from 1 species